CGGCGGGGGGUGGGCAGGCUUGCACGGGGGCUGUUUGCUGCCCACCCCCCAAGACACUCGUCCUGUCCUUCCAGCUGCAUGGAUGCCUCCAUCGCCAUCAAGCCAGUCUUUGAGAGGUUCCAGUCGGUCAUCAUCACCUCAGGGACGCUGUCCCCGCUGGAUAUAUACCCCAAGAUCCUGGAUUUCCAUCCCGUUACCAUGGCCACCUUCACCAUGACUCUGGCCAGGACCUGUCUCUGCCCCAUGAUUGUGGGGCGAGGAAACGACCAGGUGGCC